AUUGAACGCUGGCGGAAUGCUUUACACAUGCAAGUCGAGCGGCAGCACGGACUUCGGUCUGGUGGCGAGUGGCGAACGGGUGAGUAAUACAUCGGAACGUGCCCAGUCGUGGGGGAUAACGUAGCGAAAGCUACGCUAAUACCGCAUACGAUCUAAGGAUGAAAGCGGGGGAUCGCAAGACCUCGCGCGAUUGGAGCGGCCGAUGGCAGAUUAGGUAGUUGGUAGGGUAAAGGCCUACCAAGCCGACGAUCUGUGGCUGGUCUGAGAGGAUGAUCAGCCACACUGGGACUGUGACACGGCCCAGACUCCUACGGGAGGCAGCAGUGGGGAAUUUUGGACAAUGGACGCAAGUCUGAUCCAGCCAUUCCGCGUGCAGGAUGAAGGCCCUCGGGUUGUAAACUGCUUUUGUACAGAACGAAAAGGCUCUGGUUAAUACCUGGGGCUCAUGACGGUACUGUAAGAAUAAGCACCGGCUAACUACGUGCCAGCCGCCGCCGUAA
rnacentral:rRNA from 1 species